ACAUGUUCUGGCGUGCCCCGCACACUGCGAACGCGAUCUGUGGGUGGAAGCCGGUGCGAAUCCGGCGCGGUCGCGCCACUGUGAUCAAGCUGUCCCGCCCGUCCGGGCGGUCGCUUGGGAGUCAGACCCACCCGCGGGUCCAGUCCGAAUGUU
rnacentral:ncRNA from 2 species